rnacentral:rRNA from 1 species
GACGAACGCUGGCGGCGUGCUUAACACAUGCAAGUCGAACGGUAAGGCCCUUCGGGGUACACGAGUGGCGAACGGGUGAGUAACAAGUGGGUGAUCUGCCCUGCACUUCGGGAUAAGCCUGGGAAACUGGGUCUAAUACCGGAUAGGACCACUGCCUGCAUGGGUGGUGGCGGAAAGCUUUUGCGGUGUGGGAUGGGCCCGCGGCCUAUCAGCUUGUUGGUGGGGUGAUGGCCUACCAAGGCGACGGCGGGUAGCCGGCCCGAGAGGGUGACCGGCCACACUGGGACUGAGAUACGGCCCAGACUCCUACGGGAGGCAGCAGUGGGGAAUAUUGCACAAUGGGCGCAAGCCUGAUGCAGCGACGCCGCGUGAGGGAUGACGGCCUUCGGGUUGUAAACCUCUUUCAGCACCGACGAAGCGCAAGUGACGGUAGGUGCAGAAGAAGGACCGGCCAACUACGUGCCAGCAGCCGCCGUAACAC